ACUACGGGAGGCAGCAGUGGGGAAUAUUGCGCAAUGGGCGAAAGUCUGACGCAGCGACGCCGCGUGAGGGAUGAAGGUCUUCGGAUCGGAAACCUCUGUCAGUAGGGAAGAACGGUCACUGUGAUAAUCAGCAGUGAAAUGACGGUACCUGCAAAGGAAGCACCGGCUAACUCCGUGCCAGCAGCCGCGGUAAUAGGGAGGUUGCGAGCGUUAAUCGGAAUUACUGGGCGUAAAGCGCGAGUAGGCGGUAUGUCAAGUCAAGUGUGAAAUCCCCGCGCUCAACGUGGGAACUGCAUUUGAAACUGGCAGUCUGGAGUGUGUAAGAGGAUAGUGGAAGUCCAGGUGUAGGAGUGAAAUGCGUAGAUAUCUGGAGGAACAUCAGUGGCGAAGGCGACUAUCUGGCCCAUAACUGACGCUGAGGAGCGAAAGCGUGGGUAGCAAACAGGAUUAGAUACCCUUGUAGUC
rnacentral:rRNA from 1 species